rnacentral:rRNA from 1 species
GGCUACGGCGUCCGAUUUGAGAAGUUAAGCAUCGUCGAGCCACAUCAGUACUGAGGUUGGAGACAACUUGGGAACCUGUGGUGCUGUAGUCU